CAGUAGCCACGGUAAUACGAAGGGUGCAAGCGUUAAUCGGAAUUACUGGGCGUAAAGCGUGCGUAGGUGGUGGUUUAAGUCCGUUGUGAAAGCCCUGGGCUCAACCUGGGAAUUGCAGUGGAUACUGGGUCACUAGAGUGUGGUAGAGGAUAGUGGAAUUUCCGGUGUAGCAGUGAAAUGCGUAGAGAUCGGAAGGAACAUCUGUGGCGAAGGCGACUAUCUGGGCCAACACUGACACUGAGGCACGAAAGCGUGGGGAGCAAACAGGAUUAGAUACCCGCGUAGUCCCUGUCUCUUAUAC
rnacentral:rRNA from 1 species